CCCUAGUCCUAGUCCUACUUAUGUGUCCAGUCAUAGAUACUCAAUGAUUCAAUGUAUUCUAAUACACCAGACACACUCUUUGUAGAGGGAAGGACACUCUCUUUCCUUAUAAGGAUAUACAGUAUACCACAAAAAAGGCUAAGUAGCUACUGCGCAGUUACCUUUAUACUUCGUUGACGCUGCGAUUGAAUUGCGUUGACGGUUCGCUUCUGUACUCUGCGCAUGCGCAGCGAGACAGUAGUGAAUUGGGAGGUGCGGUUCAAUUACCUUUUAAUUACGUAAGAGUACGGUAAGAGUACGGUAGUAACCGUAGUAACUACUAGCAACGAGCAGCUGGCUAGAGAGAGAUUCGAGGAGACAUCGAAGGAGACUGUGCUAGCUAAAGCCCAAAGGAUCAGAGCCCAUCAUCAUAGUACGAGGCUUGUGGAGAGCAAUAGAGAUACGGGAAGAGUAAGAGUUACAGUACACCACGAGUCUGAGGCAAGACCUUAAAUCUCUGCAGAUUAAAAAGUGCCGUAAGCUCUCACCUGUGUACCACCAUAGAUCUUACUUCUUUGUUUACAGCGCCUUAUUAUCUUGUUUUUUUCAAAGAAGACCGCUCUUUGGGCGUUGCAAAAGCUAACAAUAUCAUUGAAUUGGAUAAGGAAGACUUGUUGGAGCCUGGAACAGAGUGCCACGUAAGAUUGAAGAAAAAUGUAUUUGGUGGAAUUGUAGUGACUCAUGGGACUGAAAUUGAUGUGGAUAUAGUUGCCGAGAAGAUCAUUAAUAAGCUUUAUACUCCUGAGUUUUUGAAAGGAUUAUUAAGUGAUGACUCGGAUUCUGAUGAUGUGACAACUGAUUGCACUUGUGCUAGCGACUCUGAUAUUGAUGCAAAGAGUAAGAGAAAUGCUAAAAGGAAAAGAACAGAUAGUGGUAAGCCAGCUAAGAAAAGUAUGAUGAAAACGCCUCUCAAGAAAACUAAUAGAAAGUCUAAGACUAGAUCUAAUGUGCAUAAAGCUAAAGAUGAGCAAAAAUCUACCAUCAAUGUUCUUGCAGUCUCACAGAAUACAAGUAACACAAGCAGCGCUGUUGU